rnacentral:lncRNA from 1 species
CCUCAUUCAUAAAACUUUUGCUAUCUUUUCAAAUUAUGAUUAGGCUAUUUUGACAAGUCCAACUAGGCUAUCAAUACUAAUGGACUAUUCAUUACUAAAUUCAUUCACAAGCUUCUCAAUACCUCAAUAGAGAGUAGUUCUCCUUUCUCGCGGAUUUAAAAUCAUAAAACAUUAAGUAAAAUAAAGUUCUUCUCAUGGUUGUGCUUUUGGAG